UACGUAGGGUGCAAGCGUUGUCCGGAAUUAUUGGGCGUAAAGAGCUUGUAGGCGGUUUGUCGCGUCUGCUGUGAAAAUCCGGGGCUCAACCCCGGACUUGCAGUGGGUACGGGCAGACUAGAGUGUGGUAGGGGAGACUGGAAUUCCUGGUGUAGCGGUGAAAUGCGCAGAUAUCAGGAGGAACACCGAUGGCGAAGGCAGGUCUCUGGGCCACUACUGACGCUGAGAAGCGAAAGCAUGGGGAGCAAACAGG
rnacentral:rRNA from 1 species